AUUGAACGCUGGCGGCAUGCUUUACACAUGCAAGUCGAACGGUAACAGGCCGCAAGGUGCUGACGAGUGGCGAACGGGUGAGUAAUGCAUCGGAACGUGCCCAGUCGUGGGGGAUAACUAUCCGAAAGGAUAGCUAUACCGCAUACGAUCUGCGGAUGAAAGCGGGGGACCUUCGGGCCUCGCGCGAUUGGAGCGGCCGAUGUCAGAUUAGGUAGUUGGUGGGGUAAAGGCUCACCAAGCCAACGAUCUGUAGCUGGUCUGAGAGGACGACCAGCCACACUGGGACUGAGACACGGGCCAGACUCCUACGGGAGGCAGCAGUGGGGAAUUUUGGACAAUGGGCGCAAGCCUGAUCCAGCAAUGCCGCGUGCAGGAAGAAGGCCUUCGGGUUGUAAAUUGCUUUUGUACGGAACGAAACGGCUCUGGUUAAUACCUGGGGCUAAUGACGGUACCGUAAGAAUAAGCACCGGCUAACUACGUGCCAGCCGCCGCGGUAA
rnacentral:rRNA from 1 species